UCCCUGGUGGUCUAGUGGUUAAGACUCUGUGCAGCCAACGCAGGGGGCACGGGUUUGAUUCCUGGUCGGGGAA
rnacentral:tRNA from 1 species